AACGCAAAUGGCGCCUGUGUUUACACAGGUACAUCUAUUUGAGUGUUGGUUUUAAACUUCAACAAACUUCUUUGAAGUGUUGAGAUUAUGAGUGCCCAUUACACACCUUGUGAUGGCUGCUUUAAAUUAGAAUAUCAACAAGAUUCUUCAGUGACAUUUAGUUGUGCUUGGAAUUUACCUUGAUCUUUCUCUACCAAUCUAUUAUCAACCUCAAAUUAGAUGAGAGUACCCGCUGAAUUUAA
rnacentral:misc_RNA from 1 species